rnacentral:rRNA from 1 species
GAUGAACGCUGGCGGCGUGCUUAACACAUGCAAGUCGAGCGAGAAGUUGUGAAAAGAUUCUUCGGAUGGAAUUGAAAAGGGAAAGCGGCGGACGGGUGAUUAACGCGUAGGCAGCCUGCCCCAUACAAAGGGAUAGCAUUUGCAAACGAAUAUUAAUACCGUAUGAAACGGAACUAGUGCAUGCUAGGUAGGUCAUGGGUUUAGCGGUAUGGGAUGGGCCUGCGUCUGAUUAGCUAGUUGGGGAGGCAACGGCUCACCAAGGCGACGAUCAGUCGCAGUCCUGCUCGGCCGCGCGCCACCCUUGUAACUGAGGCACGGUCCAAACUCCUUCGGCAAGCGGCAGUAGCGUAUCUUGCCCAAUGGGCGUAAGUCUGAUACAGCUUCGCCGCGUGAACGAUGAAGGCCUUUGGGUCGUAAAGUUCUGUUCUAGGGGAUGAAAACUGACAGUACCCUAGGAGAAAGCCCCGGCUAACUCCGUG